rnacentral:rRNA from 1 species
CUACGGGUCGCACCAGUGGGGAAUAUUGCACAAUGGGCGCAAGCCUGAUGCAGCCAUGCCGCGUGUAUGAAGAAGGCCUUCGGGUUGUAAAGUACUUUCAGCGGGGAGGAAGGGAGUAAAGUUAAUACCUUUGCUCAUUGACGUUACCCGCAGAAGAAGCACCGGCUAACUCCGUGCCAGCAGCCGCGGUAAUACGGAGCGUGCAAGUGUUAAUCGGAAUUACUGGGCGUAAAGCGCACGCAGGCGGUUUGUUAAGUCAGAUGUGAAAUCCCCGGGCUCAACCUGGGAACUGCAUCUGAUACGGGCAAGCUUGAGUCUCGUAGAGGGGGGUAGAAUUCCAGGUGUAGCGGUGAAAUGCGUAGAGAUCUGGAGGAAUACCGGUGGCGAAGGCGGCCCCCUGGACGAAGACUGACGCUCAGGUGCGAAAGCGUGGGGAGCAAACAGGAUUAGAUACCCUCGUAGUC